rnacentral:rRNA from 1 species
UGCCUACGGGGGGCAGCAGUGGGGGAUAUUGCACAAUGGGGGAAACCCUGAUGCAGCGACGCCGCGUGUGGGAAGACGGUCUUCUGGAUUGUAAACCACUGUCCCCAGGGACGAAAAUGACGGUACCUGGGGAGGAAGCUCCGGCUAACUACGUGCCAGCAGCCGCGGUAAUACGGAGGAUGCGAGCGUUAUCCGGAUUUAUUGGGUUUAAAGGGUGCGUAGGCGGAAUAUCAAGUCAGCGGUAAAAAUUCGGGGCUCAACCCCGUCGUGCCGUUGAAACUGAUGUUCUUGAGUGGGCGAGAAGU